rnacentral:tRNA from 1 species
GAUGAUGUGACUCAGUGGUAGAGAAUUUGCCUAGCAUAUAUAAGACCCUGGUUUCAAUCCCCAGCACUGCA